rnacentral:rRNA from 1 species
GACGAACGCUAGCGGCGUGCCUAAGGUAUGCAAGUCGAACGGGGGCUUCGGCCCUAGUGGCGAACGGUUGAGUAACACGUAGACAACCUGCCUCCAAGCGGGGGAUAACUGCGGGAAACUGCAGCUAAUACCGCAUGUGGUGGGGAAGGGCCUCCUUCCUUUACCAAACGGGCAAUCGGUUUGGAGAUGGGUCUGCGGCCUAUCAGCUAGUUGGUGGGGUAACGGCCUACCAAGGCGACGACGGGUAGCUGGCUGAGAGGAUGACCAGCCAGACGGGGAC